rnacentral:rRNA from 1 species
CGAGCGGACAGAUGGGAGCUUGCUCCCUGAUGUUAGCGGCGGACGGGUGAGUAACACGUGGGUAACCUGCCUGUAAGACUGGGAUAACUCCGGGAAACCGGGGCUAAUACCGGAUGGUUGUUUGAACCGCAUGGUUCAAACAUAAAAGGUGGCUUCGGCUACCACUUACAGAUGGACCCGCGGCGCAUUAGCUAGUUGGUGAGGUAACGGCUCACCAAGGCAACGAUGCGUAGCCGACCUGAGAGGGUGAUCGGCCACACUGGGACUGAGACACGGCCCAGACUCCUACGGGAGGCAGCAGUAGGGAAUCUUCCGCAAUGGACGAAAGUCUGACGGAGCAACGCCGCGUGAGUGAUGAAGGUUUUCGGAUCGUAAAGCUCUGUUGUUAGGGAAGAACAAGUACCGUUCGAAUAGGGCGGUACCUUGACGGUACCUAACCAGAAAGCCACGGCUAACUACGUGCCAGCAGCCGCGGUAAUACGUAGGUGGCAAGCGUUGUCCGGAAUUAUUGGGCGUAAAGGGCUCGCAGGCGGUUUCUUAAGUCUGAUGUGAAAGCCCCCGGCUCAACCGGGGAGGGUCAUUGGAAACUGGGGAACUUGAGUGCAGAAGAGGAGAGUGGAAUUCCACGUGUAGCGGUGAAAUGCGUAGAGAUGUGGAGGAACACCAGUGGCGAAGCGACUCUCUGGUCUGUAACUGACGCU